GUCUACGGCCAUACCACCCUGAACGUGCCCGAUCUCAUCUGAUCUUAGAAACUAAGCACGGUGGGGCCUGGUUAGUACACAGAUGGGAGAAUUCAGGCUCACAGAGC
rnacentral:rRNA from 1 species